GAUGAACGCUGGCGGCGUGCCUAAUACAUGCAAGUCGAGCGAACAGACGAGGAACUUGCUCCUCUGACGUUAGCGGCGGACGGGUGAGUAACACGUGGAUAACCUACCUAUAAGACUGGGAUAACUUCGGGAAACCGGAGCUAAUACCGGAUAAUAUAUUGAACCGCAUGGUUCAAUAGUGAAAGACGGUUUUGCUGUCACUUAUAGAUGGAUCCGCGCCGCAUUAGCUAGUUGGUAAGGUAACGGCUUACCAAGGCAACGAUGCGUAGCCGACCUGAGAGGGUGAACGGCCACACUGGAACUGAGACACGGUCCAGACUCCUACGGGAGGCAGAAGUAGGGAAUCUUCCGAAAUGGGCGAAAGCCUGACGGAGCAACGCCGCGUGAGUGAUGAAGGUCUUCGGAUCGUAAAACUCUGUUAUUAGGGAAGAAUAAAUGUGUAAGUAACUAUGCACGUCUUGACGGUACCUAAUCAGAAAGCCACGGCUAACUACGUG
rnacentral:rRNA from 1 species